rnacentral:rRNA from 1 species
ACGGGAGGCAGCAGUGAGGAAUAUUGGUCAAUGGAGGCAACUCUGAACCAGCCAUCUCGCGUGAAGGAAUACGGCCCUAUGGGUCUUAAACUUCUUUUAUAGGGGGAUAAAGUGAGGCAUGCAUGCCUUUUUGUAGGUACCCUAUGAAUAAGCAUCGGCUAACUCCGUGCCAGCAGCCGCGGUAAUACGGAGGAUGCGAGCGUUAUCCGGAUUUAUUGGGUUUAAAGGGUGCGCAGGCGGUGGAUCAAGUCAGUGGUGAAAUGGUGCGGCUCAACCGUAGCAUUGCCGUUGAAACUGGUUCACUUGAGUGCGGACGAGGCAGGCGGAAUGUGUUGUGUAGCGGUGAAAUGCAUAGAUAUGACACAGAACACCGAUUGCGAAGGCAGCCUGCCAGGCCGCAACUGACGCUGAGGCACGAAAGUGCGGGGAUCGAACAGGAUUAGAUACCCUGGUA